rnacentral:tRNA from 1 species
AGGGUCGUAGUUAAAUUAUAACAUUUAAAUUGCAAUUAAAAAAUGCUAAUUAGUUAGCCUACCUUA